GUCUACAGCCAGACCACGCUGCACAUGCCUGGUCCCGUAUGAUCUCAGGAGCUAAGCACGGUCAGGCCUGGUUAGCACUUGGAUGGCAGAAAGCAAUGCACUGGGAGGCUGAGGCA
rnacentral:rRNA from 1 species